rnacentral:misc_RNA from 1 species
GAUGAAGAACGCAGCGAAAUGCGAUACGUAAUGUGAAUUGCAGAAUUCAGUGAAUCAUCGAAUCUUUGAACGCAUAUUGCGCUCUCUGGUAUUCCGGAGAGCAUGCUUGUUUGAGUAUCAGUAAACACCUCAACUUCCAUAUCUUUUUUGAAAUGGGAGUUGGACUUGAGUGAUCCCAACGCUUUUCCUCACCGAAAAGUGGCGGGUUACUUGAAAUGCAGGUGCAGCUGGACUUUUCUCUGAGCUAUAAGCAUAUCUAUUUAGUCCUCGUCAAACAGGAUUAUUACUUUUGCUGCAGCUAACAUAAAGGAUAAUUGUCCUCUUUGCUGACUGAUGCAGGAUUUUACGACACUUUAUGUGUUGUUCAACUCGAUCUCAAAUCAAGUAAGACUACCCGCUGAACUUAAGCAUAUCAAUAAGCGGAGGA